GACGAACGCUGGCGGCGUGCUUAACACAUGCCAGUCGAACGGCAAGGCCCUGCUUUUGUGGGGUGCCCGAGUGGCGAACGCGUGAGUAACACGUGAGUAACCUGCCCUUGACUUUGGGAUAACUUCAGGAAAGUGGGGCUAAUACCGGAUAGGAGCUCCUGCUGCGUGGUGGGGGUUGGAAAGUUUCGGCGGUCGGGGAUGGACUCGCGGCUUAUCAGCUUGUUGGUCGGGUAGUGGCUUACCAAGGCUGUGACGGGUACGCGGCCUGAGAGGGUGGACGGCGUCCUUGGGACUGAGGGACGGAGCAGUCUCGUACAGGGGGCAGCGGUGGGGAAUAUUGCACAGUGGGCGGAAGCCGGAUGCAGCGACGUCGCGGUCGGGAUGACGGCCUGCGGGGUGUGAAACGCUUUCGCCUGAGACGACGCGGGAGUGACGGUAAUGGGUGAAGAAGCACCGGCUAACUACGUG
rnacentral:rRNA from 1 species